UGUGGGAGGGGGCUUGCCCCCGAUAGCGGUGUAUCAGUCACCUUAUCUUUAACUGACCCACUGCCAUCGGGGGCAAGCCCCCUCCCACA
rnacentral:antisense_RNA from 1 species